rnacentral:rRNA from 1 species
GGGUAUUAACCAUGAAGUCUUCUUCACUGCUUAAAGUGCUUUACAACCAAAAGGCCUUCUUCACACACGCGGCAUGGCUGGAUCAGGGUUGCCCCCAUUGUCCAAUAUUCCCCACUGCUGCCUCCCGUAGGGCA